rnacentral:tRNA from 1 species
GCCUCGAUGGUGAAAUUGGUAGACACAGCGGACUUAAAAUCCGCCGCUUCCAGAGAUGGGGCGUGCCGGUUCGAUUCCGGCUCGAGGCACCA